GAUGAAGAACGUAGCGAAAUGCGAUAAGUAAUGUGAAUUGCAGAAUUCAGUGAAUCAUCGAAUCUUUGAACGCACAUUGCGCCCGCCAGCAUUCUGGCGGGCAUGCCUGUUCGAGCGUCAUUUCAACCCUCGAGCCCCCCCGGGGGCCUCGGUGUUGGGGGACGGCACACCAGCCGCCCCCGAAAUGCAGUGUCGACCCCGCCGCAGCCUCCCCUGCGUAGUAGCACACACCUCGCACCGGAGCGCGGAGGCGGUCACGCCGUAAAACGCCCAACUUUCUUAGAGUUGACCUCGGAUCAGGUAGGAAUACCCGCUGAACUUAAGCAUAUCAAUAAGCGGAGGA
rnacentral:misc_RNA from 1 species